GCUUGGCUUCGAUAAAAUAGAUGUGUAGACGAAGGCUUCGAUGAUUUAGAGAUCCACACAACGCGCACGCCGAUAUCUCUCUUAGGCAUGUUCGAUAGUGAUUAAUCCUCCGCCAGUCAGGACGUCCACCGCUCCGGUGUUCAGUGUCGUCACUGCUCAGGUCGUCGUCGCACCACUCGGCUUUGUGUCGAUGGCGCUGCCCAGGCCGCAGGGCCUCAGCCAGCACAGCGGCGUCCGAGUUGCUGUGGAAGAAGGGCUCCUGCGGCAGCGCCGAUGGUGGUCGGCGCUUGGUCACGACUCACGAAUGGGCUCCAGUUGGACUUCAUGUUCCUUUGCUGCGCACGGAACAAAAGAAAACGAAAGAAAACGUU